AGUGAACGCUGGCGGUAGGCCUAACACAUGCAAGUCGAACGGCAGCACAGUAAUAGCUUGCUCUUACGGGUGGCGAGUGGCGGACGGGUGAGGAAUACAUCGGAAUCUACUUUUUCGUGGGUGAUAACGUAGGGAAACUUACGCUAAUACCGCAUACGACCUACGGGUGAAAUCAGGGGAUCUUCGGACCUUGCGCGAUUGAAUGAGCCGAUGUCGGAUUAGCUAGUUGGCGGGGUAAAGGCCCACCAAGGCGACGAUCCGUAGCUGGUCUGAGAGGAUGAUCAGCCACACUGGAACUGAGACACGGUCCAGACUCCUACGGGAGGCAGCAGUGGGGAAUAUUGGACAAUGGGCGCAAGCCUGAUCCAGCCAUACCGCGUGGGUGAAGAAGGCCUUCGGGUUGUAAAGCCCUUUUGUUGGGAAAGAAAAGCAGCAGGUUAAUACCCCGCUGUUCUGACGGUACCAAAAGAAUAAGCACCGGCUAACUUCGUG
rnacentral:rRNA from 1 species